GACGAACGCUGGCGGCGUGCUUAACACAUGCAAGUCGAACGGAAAGGCCCUGCUUUUGUGGGGUGCUCGAGUGGCGAACGGGUGAGUAACACGUGAGUAACCUGCCCUUGACUUUGGGAUAACUUCAGGAAACUGGGGCUAAUACCGGAUAGGAUCUCCUGCUGCAUGGUGGGGGUUGGAAAGUUUCGGCGGUUGGGGAUGGACUCGCGGCUUAUCAGCUUGUUGGUGGGGUAGUCGCUUACCAAGGCUUUGACGGGUAGCCGGCAUGAGAGGGUAGACGGGGACCAGAGGCCUGCGAUACGGAGCAGUAUGCUACGGGACGCAGUGGUCGGAAGCAUUACGGAGUAAGGCGACGCCAGAUACAAAGACGCUGGGAGCGGGAUGCCGGGUUAUGGGUUAUGAACAGCUGUGGAAGGAGCCGUGGAGGGCGUGACGGUAAUGAGUAAGAAAGCAACGGCUAACUACGUG
rnacentral:rRNA from 1 species